rnacentral:rRNA from 1 species
GACGAACGCUGGCGGCGUGCCUAAUACAUGCAAGUCGAACGCAGUGGGGACGGGUGAGUAACACGUGGGUAACCUCCGAUCAGAGGGGAGAACACUUGGAAACAGGUGCUAAACCGAUACGGAUGGAGGGACCCGGGGUGCAUGAGCUAGUUGGUGGGGUAACGGCUCACCAAGGCGACGAUGCAUAGCCGGCCUGAGAGGGUGAGCGGCCACACUGGGACUGAGACACUGCCCAGACUCCUACGGGAGGCAGCAGUAGGGAAUCUUCGGCAAUGGGCGAAAGUCUGACCGAGCAACGCCGCGUGAGUGAAGAAGGUUUUCGGAUCGUAAAGCUCUGUUGUUAGAGAAGCGGUAUCUAACCAGAAAGCCACGGCUAACUACGUGCCAGCAGCCGCGGUAAUAC